rnacentral:lncRNA from 1 species
CAGGGAUUGGCAAUGGGAUCAGGGAUUGGGAUUAGGGUCAGGGAUUGAGAACAGGGAUCAGGAAUGGGAUUGGGGUUGGAUUGGGAUUGGGAUUGGGGUUGGGAAUGGUAUCAGGGAUUGGGAUUGGGAUCAGGAUUGGCAUUGGGAUCAGGGAUUGGGGUUGGGAAUGGGAUCAGGGAUUGGGAUUGGGAUCAGGAUUGGGAUUGGGAUCAGGGACUUGGAUCAGGAUUGGGAUUGGGAUCAGGGAUUGGGAUUGGGAUCAGGAGUGGGAUUGGGAUCGGGGAUUGGGGAUGGGAUUGGGAUCGGGAUCAGGGAUUGAGAACAGGGAUCAGGAAUGAGAUUGGGGUUGGGAAUGGGAUCAGGAAUGGGAUUGGGGUCAGAUUGGGAUCAGGGAUUGGGAUUGGGGUCAGGGAUUGGGAUUGGGAUCAGAAUUGGGAUUGGGAUCAGGGAUUGGGAUCAGGGUCAGGGAUUGAGAACAGGGAUCAGGAAUGGGAUUGGGGUUGGGAAUGGGAUCAGGAAUGGGAUUGGGGUUGCAUUGGGGUUGGGAAUGGGACUGGGGUCAGGGAUUGGGAUUGGGAUUGGGAGCCAUAUCAGGAAUGGGAUCAGGAUCAGGAACAGGAUCAGCAAUGGGUCAGGAAUGGGAUUGGGACCAGGAUCAGAACUUUCCCCAUUCCCAGAGAUUGUGCAGCUGCUGCUGGAGCGGGGUCAGGAUUGGGAUCAGGAUCACAUUUAGGAUCAGGAUCAGGAUCAGGAAUGGGAUUUCUCUCCCCUCCCCAGAGAUGGUGCAGCUGCAAUGGGAUCGGGAAUGGGAUCAGGGAUCAGCAAUGGGAUCAGGGAUCAGAAUUGGGAUCAGGAUCAGGAUUGGGAUCAGGAAUUUUUCCCCAUUCCUUGAGAUCGUGCGGCUGCUGCUGGAGCGGGGUCAGGAUCAGGUUUGGGAUCAGGAUCAGCAAUGGGAUCAGGGAUCAGGAAUUGGGUCAGGAUCAGGAUCAGCAAUGGGAUCAGGGAUCAGGAAUGGGAUCAGGAUCAGGUUUGGGAUCAGGAAUUUUUCCCUUCCCCACAGAUCGUACGUUUGCUGCCGGAGCAGGGUUGGGAUUGGGAUUGGCAUCAGGACUAGGAUUGGGAUCAGGAUUAGGACCAGGAUUGGGAUUGGGGUCAGGAAUGGGAUUGGGAUUAGGAGUGGGAUUGGGAUCAGGAAUUAGACCAGGACUGGGAAUGGGAUUGGCAUCAGGGAUCAGGAAUGGGAUUGGGAAUGGGAUCAGGGA